AGAGUUUGAUCCUGGCUCAGAUUGAACGCUGGCGGCAGGCCUAACACAUGCAAGUCGAGCGGAAACGAGUUAACUGAACCUUCGGGGAACGUUAACGGCGUCGAGCGGCGGACGGGUGAGUAAUGCCUGGGAAGUUGCCUGAUGUGGGGGAUAACCAUUGGAAACGAUGGCUAAUACCGCAUAAUAGCUUCGGCUCAAAGAGGGGGACCUUCGGGCCUCUCGCGUCAGGAUAUGCCCAGGUGGGAUUAGCUAGUUGGUGAGGUAAUGGCUCACCAAGGCGACGAUCCCUAGCUGGUCUGAGAGGAUGAUCAGCCACACUGGAACUGAGACACGGUCCAGACUCCUACGGGAGGCAGCAGUGGGGAAUAUUGCACAAUGGGCGCAAGCCUGAUGCAGCCAUGCCGCGUGUAUGAAGAAGGCCUUCGGGUUGUAAAGUACUUUCAGCAGUGAGGAAGGUGGGUAUGUUAAUAGCAUAUUCAUUUGACGUUAGCUGCAGAAGAAGCACCGGCUAACUCCGUGCCAGCAGCCGCGGUAAUACGGAGGGUGCGAGCGUUAAUCGGAAUUACUGGGCGUAAAGCGCAUGCAGGUGGUUUGUUAAGUCAGAUGUGAAAGCCCGGGGCUCAACCUCGGAAUUGCAUUUGAAACUGGCAAACUAGAGUACUGUAGAGGGGGGUAGAAUUUCAGGUGUAGCGGUGAAAUGCGUAGAGAUCUGAAGGAAUACCGGUGGCGAAGGCGGCCCCCUGGACAGAUACUGACACUCAGAUGCGAAAGCGUGGGGAGCAAACAGGAUUAGAUACCCUGGUAGUCCACGCCGUAAACGAUGUCUACUUGGAGGUUGUGGCCUUGAGCCGUGGCUUUCGGAGCUAACGCGUUAAGUAGACCGCCUGGGGAGUACGGUCGCAAGAUUAAAACUCAAAGGAAUUGACGG
rnacentral:rRNA from 1 species